AGAAGAACCUCCAGAAUGGCAUAACACCCCACCCCCAUAUCCCCAAUCAGUCCCCUGCCAGAUCUCUCAACAGGGUGCCACUAGAGACACAGCAGAGGGACCAGACUCAACCACCACUCUGCUUUUACAUACUUAUGGCCCUCCUCCAGCGGACCCCAGACAACUGCAGCCCCUUCAGUACUGGCCUUUUUCCUCCUCUGGUCUCUACAAUUAGAAGGCAAAUCAUGCCCCCUUCUCUGAAAACCCCUCUAGCCUUACUAAUCUAAUGGAAUCUCUCAUGUUCUCUCAUCAGCCCACGUGAGAUGACUGUCAACAGCUUUUACAGGUUCUUUUCACCACAGAGGAGAAGGAGAGAAUUCUGCUGGAGGCAAGAAAGAACGUGCUGGGGGCCAAUGGACAGCUGACACAACUUCUGAAUGAAAUAGAUGCAAGCUUCCCUCUGACACGUCCUAACUGGGACCCUAACAGGCCUGAAGGUAGGGAGCGGUUGACAAUUUUCCACCGGGCUCUGGUAGCAGGACUGAGAAGAGCUGACAGGCGCCCCACCAAUUUGGCUAAGAGGUAGCUGUGUGAAUUCUUCCACUAUUCAUGGAGAACUGGAACCCUGACAGGCACCUCACAAUGUAUCCAAGGUCACCCUCAGACUGGUAUCUCCCUGGCUCUCUACCUCUUUAGUGCUGGAAUUGCAGGUGUGUGCCAAUGGCCCCUGGUCGGCCUUCCUUUCUUUCUUUCUUUCUUUCUUUCUUUCUUUCUUUCUUUCUUUCUUUCUUUCUUUCUUUCUUUCUU
rnacentral:lncRNA from 1 species